AUUGAACGCUGGCGGCAUGCCUUACACAUGCAAGUCGAACGGCAGCACGGGAGCAAUCCUGGUGGCGAGUGGCGAACGGGUGAGUAAUAUAUCGGAACGUGCCCAGUCGUGGGGGAUAACGCAGCGAAAGCUGUGCUAAUACCGCAUACGAUCUAUGGAUGAAAGCGGGGGAUCGCAAGACCUCGCGCGAUUGGAGCGGCCGAUAUCAGAUUAGCUAGUUGGUGGGGUAAAAGCCCACCAAGGCGACGAUCUGUAGCUGGUCUGAGAGGACGACCAGCCACACUGGAACUGAGACACGGUCCAGACUCCUACGGGAGGCAGCAGUGGGGAAUUUUGGACAAUGGGCGCAAGCCUGAUCCAGCAAUGCCGCGUGCAGGAUGAAGGCCUUCGGGUUGUAAACUGCUUUUGUACGGAACGAAACGGCGAGCUCUAAUACAGUUUGCUAAUGACGGUACCGUAAGAAUAAGCACCGGCUAACUACGUGCCAGCAGCCGCCGUAA
rnacentral:rRNA from 1 species